GCCGUCCUCGGUUUGUCCGUCUGGUUGGGCCUCCUAGACACCACAACUGUGCCACGCACUUCUUCCUCCACAUCCUUCUCUUGCUCUCUUUUCCUCUCUCUCUCUCACCGUGUCUCUCUUCCUCUGUCCAGUCUCUCAAUAGUGGUCCUCUCUGCUCUCGUGGGGGAGGCUGUAAUAUCUGGUUUCCUAAACAAUGGAAAUUCAAUCAGGAAAUGGACCCGAGGUGUCGAAAGAAGGAGGGUGCGCUCAUUCGUCUCCUCUCGCCCUGCGGCCUGCGAACGCUAAAGAGGACCUGGAGGAGAACAGGCGCAUUGAGAAGUUUGACAUCCCACUCAGCAGCCUGAAGCAAAUGUUUGAGAAACCGCCGGCGCAACAUGUGGAAGUGAGUGGUUCAUAUUCGUCUAGUGGGAGAGUAGCAGACAAAUAUAGUGGUGUAGGAGAAAAAAUGUCGAAUCAGGAAUCAAACUUUGGUGGAUCUGCGGGCAGCGCAGGUGUUUCACCAUCAAGAAAGGGACAGGCCGACGUUGAGGCUGAUACUGUGCCUCUCAAGCAGAGACUGGCCUUAUACCAAGCUGCCACUACCAAGGAGGAGAGAAGCCCAUCUGUGGUAUUUACCAGCAUGAACACACACCUAAAUACGCAUGAACAUAUGCUGGCCCACACACUCAUAUCAUAUUAGGCACAGAUUUCCUACUUCUUGUCUAAGGCCUUCCUCUUCCUAUUUAAUAUUUACAAUUUAGGAAAAAAUCCUUUCAGUCCAUAUAAGCAUGCUGUACUUAAUGGCUGUGUAAUACAUAAUAGAUGCAUAAAAUACACAUUAAAUGGAUUUGCACUUUAUUGAUCCCAUGUGGGAAUUUGGGUUGCAUUAAAUAAUGUGAGAUGGCAGUUACUGGAUGAAGUGGAGUAUUAUUUAUUACAAAGUGUCCCAAACAAUUUGUGCUUGUAUCCUAACCAGCUACAACCAUGAAAACAUUUUGUUUGUUGUUUGAUUUUUACAGAGCCUUUUCUUUGAUAUACUAUUACAGUUUUUGUUAUUUUUAUAUUUCCUUUUUAAUUUUCCUUUUAAAGAUGUAGAAAUGUAUUGUGUUUUUGUAAUUAUAGGCCUAUUUUUUAUAAUAUGUCUAUUUCUGGUGUGCUGUGGUGUGGAGUGCUGCUCAUUUUGAAAUCCCAUUGGUUCAAAAUCCUCUGUAUAUUAAAUAUCAAACAUGUUCUGAUUGUUUGUCAUUGUGUUGCAUUCUGCAUAAUUUUUACUGUCUGUGUGGAGAGAAAAAAUUCUUGUCAUUAGAAUUCCGGUUAGCUUUAUUGGUAAACAAACUCUAUUUCUUUAAGACCUGUACAAUAAUAAAUAAUUUAAUACUAAAGGAUUAACA
ensembl:lncRNA